rnacentral:rRNA from 1 species
GAGCGCCCCGCAAGGGGUAGCGGCAGACGGGAGAGUAACACGUGGGAACGUGCCCUUUGGUUCGGAACGACACAGGGAAACUUGUGCUAAUACCGGAUAAGUCCGUAAGGAGAAAGAUUUAUCGCCAAAGGAUCGGCCCGCGUAUGCUUAGCUUGUUGGUGAGGUAACGGCUCACCAAGGCGACGAUCAGUAGCUGGUCUGAGAGGAUGAUCAGCCUCACUGGGACUGAGACACGGCCCAGACUCCUACGGGAGGCAGCAGUGGGGAAUAUUGGACAAUGGGCGCAAGCCUGAUCCAGCCAUGCCGCGUGGAUGAUGAAGGCCUUAGGGUUGUAAAGUCCUUUCGGCGGGGAAGAUAAUGACGGUACCCGCAGAAGAAGCCCCGGCUAACUUCGUGCCAGCAGCCGCGGUAAUACGAAGGGGGCUAGCGUUGCUCGGAAUCACUGGGCGUAAAGCGCACGUAGGCGGCUUUUUAAGUCAGAGGUGAAAUCCUGGAGCUCAACUCCAGAACUGCCUUUGAUACUGGAGAGCUUGAGUCCGGGAGAGGUGAGUGGAACUGCGAGUGUAGAGGUGAAAUUCGUAGAUAUUCGCAAGAACACCAGUGGCGAAGGCGGCUCACUGGCCCGGUACUGACGCUGAGGUGCGAAAGCGUGGGGA